UGCCAGCCGCCGCGGUAAUACGGAGUGUGCAAGCGUUACUCGGAAUCACUGGGCAUAAAGCGCACGUAGGCGGGAAGAUGUGUCGGUGGUGAAAGCCCCCAGCUCAACUGGGGAACUGCCUCCGAAACUGUCUUCCUUGAGGGCGAGAGGGGUGAGUGGAACUUCUGGUGGAGCGGUGAAAUGCGUAGAUAUCAGAAGGAACACCGGUGGCGAAAGCGACUCACUGGCUCGUUUCUGACGCUGAGGUGCGAAAGCGUGGGUAGCAAACAGGAUUAGAUA
rnacentral:rRNA from 1 species